UUAAUCGGUUAAGAUUUGAAAGAAAAAUUGAAAGUCAAGACCAUGAUAUCGAUCUCGGGGCCAGGGAUACAUGCUGCCACCCUUUGACAGGCACAGGGUUACUUUGACCUGUUAACAGGCGCAGGGUUACUUUGACCUGUUAACGCGCAGAGAUGCUUUGGACAUCUGACAGGCCAUGUCAAAUUCCUUUUCCGGUUAAAGAUCUCGUCGAGAAACGAAUCGCAAACGAACCUUUUGUAAGAAGUGCCAUCAUAGGAAAAUUCCAUUGUGAAACAACUCGACACGGACAAUGAUCCGACGCAUACUGCCCACAAUGUUAAGCUCUGUUUGCUUUACAAUGUACAAAAUGAGCUUCGAUCGCCUCCUUAGUCCCCAGACCUGAAUCCCAUAGAACAUCUAUGGGAUUUACUCGAUCGCAGGAUUCGUAAGCACACCAUAAGCUCUAAAAACAUGUUGAAGGAAGUUAUCCUGGAGGAAUGGCGCAAAAUAACUGCCGAGGACACCAGGAAUCUGGUUGACUCAAUGCCUAGACGUCUGGCAGAUGUUUUAAAACGAUAUUAAGAUCCCACAAAAUAUUAACAACUUAGAAUUUUAGUCGUGUACGCAGAAUUGUUAGAGUGUACGCAGACUUUUGAGGUGUCAAAUUUGUCUUGUUUUUUUUAAUGAUUUUUUUUUCCUAUUAAGUUUGUUUUAUUGAAUAAAAAACAAAUGUAGAUAGGUUUAGAAAUAAGCAAAGAAUAUUAUAAAAAAAUCGUUGCCCAAAGUGCCUUAUAUUAGAAGUUAUCCGCAACUAAACAUGAAAAUGUAGUUCGUUUUUUAAGUGUACGCAGAGAUAUGCGAGCAAGUGUAUACUAAAGUUACAACGAAAAAACAAAAUGUUCACGGAAAAAAGUGUACUAUAGUCUCAAAGUAAUCUUAAUAUUAAUACUUUUUAUACUUUUAAUAUUUGGUUGGUCCACCAUUGGCAUC